GGCUUGAUAGCUCAACUGGUCGAGCACUGCACCGGUAGAGAGGUCAUGGGUUCUAAUCCCGUUCAAACCU
rnacentral:tRNA from 1 species